rnacentral:rRNA from 1 species
CCCUUCGAUGUUCUGGGCCGCACGCGUGCUACAAUGAUGGAAUCAAAGAGUAAAGUGGGUGUUGGGGUGUGCAAGCAUGUCAGCAUUUGGUUGUGACUUGAUUGAAAGGUCUGGUUAAUCUUUGGAAAUUUCAUCGUACUAUGAAUUGUUGAUUGCAAUUAUUUGACAUGAAAUAGGAAUGCCUAGUAGGUGUAAUUCAUCAGAUUACGCCGAUUACGUCCCUGCCCUUUGUACACACCGCCCGUCGCUCCUACCGAUUGGAAUAAACGGUGAAGAAUUUGGAGGUUAAGAGUGGGUCUUGAUCUACUUUUGAUUGAAGUUUUCUAAAUCUCUUGUUCUAGAGGAAGGAGAAGUCGUAACA